UUAUUUUGAUUCAUUAGGUGUUUAUUUUGGAUGGUCCGGAGUUUUUGGCUGCAACUAUGUUGGACAGAGAUAUGCUUGCUAUGGCUGGAAAUUGGUACCAUGUCGGUUGGUUUUGCUUGGCAAGAUUUGUGACGAUGCGUCGGACAAACAACAUUGGGAUAAGAUACAGCCUUGAGCCUUGGCAAGUUAACACAUUAGUUAGGGUUAUGAAGUUUUUCAUGGCACCGACACAUUAUUGAGCAGUAGCGCAUCAGAUGACCAGUGUAUAUCUCUACUUGAGGAAUUCUCCAAAGAUCCAGAGCCGAUUGUUUCAUAGAGCUGUGAAGUUGCUCUAAACAUACUGGAUUUUGAACGAUCCGGCAAACCAUUCGAGUACAUCUUUAUGUAGGCACCUCAAUUGCAGGAGGCAGCAUGAUGGUUUCACUUUGUUGUGUGUUUUGUUACCAUUGAGUACUAAAUGG